rnacentral:rRNA from 1 species
UACGUAGGUGGCAAGCGUUAUCCGGAUUUAUUGGGCGUAAAGGGAACGCAGGCGGUCUUUUAAGUCUGAUGUGAAAGCCUUCGGCUUAACCGGAGUAGUGCAUUGGAAACUAGGAGACUUGAGUGCAGAAGAGGAGAGUGGAACUCCAUGUGUAGCGGUGAAAUGCGUAGAUAUAUGGAAGAACACCAGUGGCGAAGGCGGCUCUCUGGUCUGCAACUGACGCUGAGGCUCGAAAGCAUGGGUAGCGAACAGG